rnacentral:lncRNA from 1 species
GUAAGGGCUUUACUAGGGAAAACGGUGCUGGUUCACUGGGGCGCGUUUCCGGGAAGGUGAAUACCGGUGAAAGUUAUGCUGAGGGUGAGUAAACUCAAAAACUGACACUUGAUUCAGCUAUUGGAAAGUUUUUUUAAUGUGGUUGGAACAACUGAGCCAUGUGAAAACACAACAAGAAGGUACCGUCCUGGAAGCAGAGAGCAAACCCUUAUCAGACACCACACCUGCUGACUCCUUUAUGUGCAGCCUCCAG